AUAAAGAUAUAAAAAAUACUUUGUAUAAAAUAUUAUGGUUGAGCACUAAAAAUAAUUGGUAUUAUCUACUAUGAUAUGUUACUUCAUGAACUUCAAUGUAUUAAAAUGCCAAGUUUCUUUUCUGUAAUGAAAGUCAGUUGCCACUGCAAUCAACUGACAAUAAGUUUUUAUAUAUUCAAUAUAUUAAAUAUAUAACAAAAAAACAGAUUAAUAAUAGUGACUGUUGUUACACUCCCAAUAAAAAAUCCUCUUUUGCAUGAUUUUAUAUGUACUUUUUAAUUGGUUUUGUUAAAUUAUAAAUAACCUUAUAAUUGUAGUUACAGCUGCCAUGUUGGUUUCAGGUAGUUUGCAGGGUCACUGAACAGACUUGGGCUGUUCAAUAAAGUUUUUAUAAGAAUUCUUUGACUGUUUUAUAAAUUUUUCUGUGUCAUUUUGGUCUCUUAUGGAGAGUUGUCUCAUCGGCAAUCAUACCACAUCUUCUUUUUUAUAUUGAUAAUGUUCUUUAUGAAUCACUGACAGUUUAUAAUGUAUUCAAAUUUAUUUAGUGAUUUAAAAAAUUGUUCACCCCAGAUAGACAACAGAGAUAAGCUGAUGGCAAUAACUCAUGAGGUCCUGUUCUUGAUAUUUUAUUGACAAACACACUAACUGUGGUGUAAAAAAUUAACAUGUGUAUACACAGUGUACAUGUGUAAAAAUAAUAAUACUCUUAACACUUAAAUGAAGAAUAAUUACUUAUUUUAACCUUGUUACAAGUAAAACAUAUUAAAAAAGCCUUACUAUAUAGAUCAUCUAUAUACUUAAUAUUUUCUUGGCACAAUAACUGUUAAAUCAAAAAUCAACAAAUUCUUAUAAAGCUGCAACACAUACUUUUUGAAUCACCCAGGCUGGUCUGUGUAAAACAGGCAUGGGGUAAUCAUAAUCAGGAUCAGCUGUAAUCGAUUACAUUUUGCAGUGUAAUACUAUGUAAUCAGUAAUCAUGCCAUUUCUGAUUACAAGUAAUCAUAAUGUAAUCAAUUACAUGGCAAAAAA
rnacentral:lncRNA from 1 species